AAUCACGGAUAUUACUAUAAAACUCGUGUGUUCGUGUUAGACACGUGCGUGUCUGUGUUCGACUCUUGUCCGAUAUAGAUACUUUUUGGACCUACAUUCAAUGUCUAUUCAUAGCGCAUACAUUUUAAAAAAAUAUAUACGUAUUUUUAAUUUGCUUUCCUUAUGCAUAUCUAUACUACUUAUAAAAGAGGGAGGUUUAAAAUUUUUUUCUUUCCUAAAAUACCGAUCCCUAUUAAUAUACUUUUAAUCAUAUACUAACAAUAUCAUUCAUUCAACUUUAAUGAAAUAAAUCACAGUCGUACAAUUUUUAUUUUAUUUUAAUAUUAUUAUAAAAUAUAUUAAUUCUUAGUCAUUGGAUCUAAUCAAAUGGCUGACGAAUUAAGUAUUUGUCACUUUUUUUUUCUAAAUUGCCCUCAAAUAGUACGUAUCAAAUUUCAUUUUUUAAAUGCAUACCCUAUCUCCUAACAACCGCUGUCCAUAUAAUAUCGUAUUUUAUCAUAUAAUAUUCGCAAUUCUCACACAUAAUAUCCGCCACUUACAUAAUAUCAAAUCACGUAAUACCUUCCGCAUAUAUAAUAUUUAAUCAAUAAUAUCCAAUCACGUAAUACCUUCCUCAUAUAUAAUAUUUAAUCAUAUUUUUUUAAAGGUAAAUAUAUAAAAAUUAUCGCAUUUUAUCUACUAAUAUUUAAAAUAUGAGAUAUUUUUCAAUAAAAUAUAACAUAUGAAUUUACAAUUUAAAAAUUUAAAUUUGUAGACAAAUGUAAUUCACAAAUUUAUAUUGAUUUGAGAUAAUUAUUAAAAUAGUUGUUGGUAGAUUUUCUUUUAGUAGAAAAAAUAUUGCAUUCCAUUUUCGAUAACAGAAAAAAAUUUAUACUUAUCCAAAUUUCUGUCAACCAAAGGAUAUUUGCUGUAAAAUAUUUUUCACAAGGGCCCCAUAAAAAAAUAUUCCAUACUAAUCAAAAAACGAAAAUCUCU
rnacentral:lncRNA from 1 species